GGGAUCACGUGAUGCUACGGCUCCUUUGCGCGCUUCCGGGUUGACAGACGCCGGGAGUCCGGAGCUACGGCGUAGUGGUGGCGGGGGCGGGGACCAGCGGCAGGCCCGGUUAGUGCCCUCUGGGCCGCCGGGUGGGCUGACCGUAGCAGGUCCCUGCGGGGCGGCCCUGAUAGAUUUAAGCCUCUUCAGAGUCUUCUGGAGAAAAUGGCAGACACAACCCUGGAGCCCUGUGGGCAGCUUAUGGUACACUCAGACACUCACAGUGACACUGUGCUGGCCAGUCUGGAGGAUCAAAGGAAGAAGGGCUUUCUUUGUGAUAUUACUUUAAUCGUGGAGAAUGUGCAUUUCCGAGCUCAUAAAGCCUUGCUGGCCGCCAGUAGCGAGUAUUUCUCAAUGAUGUUUGCGGAAGAGGGCGAGAUUGGCCAGUCUAUCUACAUGCUGGAAGGCAUGGUUGCAGACACCUUUAGCAUCUUGCUGGAAUUUAUCUAUACAGGUUAUCUACAUGCCAGUGAGAAAACAACGGAGCAGAUCCUGGCUACUGCUCAGUUCUUAAAAGUCUAUGACCUGGUAAAGGCAUACACAGACUUCCAGGAUAACCAUAGCGCCCCAAAGCCACCAGCUUUGAACUGCACUGGGACGCCAGUGGUGGUUAUUUCCAAUAAGAAGAACGAUCCUCUGAAACGGAAACGGGGAAGACCAAGAAAAGCCAAUGGUUUGCAGGAAGGGAGAUCAGAACUGGCUGCAGAGGGAGAGCUGCAGCUGAGAGUGAACAAUUCAGUUCAGAAUAGACAAAACUUUGUGUUUAAAGAAGAAGACAGUGUCAAGCUGAGUGAGCAGACUCCAGAAGACAAGGGGUCGGAGCCUGCUGCUGAGCCAGGAUGCGCCGAGGAGGUGCCUGCAGAAAAGGACGAGAACUUUGACCCCAAGGCUCGGGAUGGACAGGAGAGCCAGAGUAGGUGCAGCAGGCGGAGAAUCCGCAGGUCUGUCAAGCUCAAAGAUUACAAGCUUCUUGGAGAGGAAGAUGACCAGAGCACUGCCAAGAGGCUAUGUGGAAGAAAAAAGCGCUCCAGCGGUCCCGAGGCCCGGUGUAAAGACUGCGACAGAGUCUUUAAAUAUAGUCACUUCUUAGCAAUCCACCAGAGACGCCACACGGGGGAACGACCCUUCAAAUGUAAUGAGUGUGGGAAGGGCUUUGCUCAGAAGCACUCCUUGCAGGUCCAUACCAGGAUGCACACGGGGGAGCGGCCAUACACCUGCACCGUGUGCGGCAAGGCGCUGACCACCAAGCACUCCCUGCUGGAGCACAUGAGCCUGCACUCAGAAGUCUUUUACCUGUGAUCAGUGUGGAAAAUAUUUCAGCCAGAAAAGACAGCUAAAGAGCCAUUAUCGCGUCCAUACAGGCCACUCACUACCAGAAUGCAGCCACUGCCACCGAAAGUUUAUGGACGUGUCCCAGCUGAAGAAGCACCUGCGGACACACACAGGCGAGAAGCCGUUUACUUGUGAAAUCUGUGGGAAAUCUUUCACAGCAAAGAGCUCCCUUCAGACCCACAUCAGGAUCCACCGAGGAGAAAAGCCGUAUUCCUGCAGCAUCUGUGGCAAGUGCUUCUCUGACUCCAGUGCCAAGAGGAGACACUGCAUCCUCCAUACGGGCAAGAAGCCCUUCUCCUGCCCCGAGUGUGGCUUACAGUUUGCUCGCCUAGACAAUUUGAAGGCACACUUGAAAAUCCACAGCAAAGAGAAGCACACGGCAGACUCCAGCAGUGUUUCUGGCAGUAAUGUGGACGAGGGCAGGAACAUUGUUCAGCUGCAACCAUACCAGCUCUCCACGUCGGGAGAGCAGGAGAUUCAGCUUCUUGUCACCGAUUCUGUGCAUAACAUUAACUUCAUGCCAGGUCCCAGCCAGGGGGUCAGCAUCGUGGCUGCUGAGAGCCCCCAGAGCAUGGCCACAGACCCGGCUGCCAACAUCACCCUGCUCACACAGCAGCCGGAGCAUCUGCAGGGCCUGAUCCUUUCAGCUCAGCAGGAGCAGGCAGAGCACAUUCAGAGCCUCAGUGUGAUUGGAGGCCAGAUGGAGUCCUCCCAGACUGAGCCACUGCAUGUCAUCACACUUUCCAAGGAAACGCUGGAGCAUCUCCACACCCACCAGGAGCAAACAUCCAGCUCAGUAGCUGCAGCUGACACAGGAGCCCGAGCCACCCCUGCCCCCUCCACUAGGCCAGGAGCAGAGCUAACCCAAGCGCCUCUGGCCGUUCCACUAGACCCUUCCCCUGGAGCAACAGUGGCAGGGUGGCCUUUUGGGCCAUCAUCUUACAGAUCCUUAAAGAUGUGAGCCAGCCAUUCUUUAUCGUGGGCUCCAUUAGGGCAGAAACUGUCUUAUCUGUAAUACCAACUCAUCCUUAAGUGAGGGGGGUUCCACUUUGAUCUACUAUGUCUCUUCAAGAUUGGUAGCUUUUCUUUGGGGUCAUUGGUUUUGUAUGUUUCUGUAAGUGUUGAAUGUCCACAGCCAUAGAGUAUGGUCUUGUUUAGAACAAACACUCAUGCAUAGGUUGAAUCAUCGGGUAGAGAGGGUUCCAUCCUGGUACUUCUCUUAGGCAGUAAGACUGCCAUUCCACAACAAGUCAGGACCAUCAGGUUUCCCCUCCAGUAACUUUUGCCCCUCAGAGUCCACCUCUUGAAUUUUAUCUUUGUGUGGUACAGCUGACCAAGUUGUACUGAAGGUAGAUUCAUACUCAGAAACCGUACUCAUGACAUAAAAGCCAAAGUACCUUUAAAUUGUUUGAGUUCAAUUUUACUUCAAAACAUGUACUUAUACAUUUUUUAAAGAAGCAGCUAUUAAAUUUUAUUUUAAAAAA